UACAGAGGGUGCAAGCGUUAAUCGGAAUUACUGGGCGUAAAGCGUGCGUAGACGGUUACAUAAGUCGGGUGUGAAAGCCCCGGGCUCAACCUGGGAAUUGCAUUCGAGACUGCGUAGCUAGGGUGCGGAAGAGGGAAGCGGAAUUUCCGGUGUAGCGGUGAAAUGCGUAGAUAUCAGGAGGAACACCGAUGGCGAAGGCAGGUCUCUGGGCUGACACUGACGCUCAUGCACGAAAGCGUGGGGAGCAAACAGG
rnacentral:rRNA from 1 species